GGGCGCUUAGCUCAGUUGGUAGAGCGCUGCCCUUACAAGGCAGUGGCCGUGGGUUCGAGUCCCUCAGCGCCCACCA
rnacentral:tRNA from 1 species